rnacentral:rRNA from 1 species
GGUGGUAAUGCCGGAUGCUCCAGUUGAUCGCAUGGUCUUCUGGGAAAGCCUUUGCGGCAUGGGAUGGGGUCGCGUCCUAUCAGCUUGAUGGCGGGGUAACGGCCCACCAUGGCUUCGACGGGUAGCCGGCCUGAGAGGGCGACCGGCCACAUUGGGACUGAGAUACGGCCCAGACUCCUACGGGAGGCAGCAGUGGGGAAUAUUGCACAAUGGGCGCAAGCCUGAUGCAGCGACGCCGCGUGAGGGAUGGAGGCCUUCGGGUUGUAAACCUCUUUUGUUAGGGAGCAAGGCACUUUGUGUUGAGUGUACCUUUCGAAUAAGCACCGGCUAACUACGUGCCAGCAGCCGCGGUAAUACGUAGGGUGCAAGCGUUAUCCGGAAUUAUUGGGCGUAAAGGGCUCGUAGGCGGUUCGUCGCGUCCGGUGUGAAAGUCCAUCGCUUAACGGUGGAUCCGCGCCGGGUACGGGCGGGCUUGAGUGCGGUAGGGGAGACUGGAAUUCCCGGUGUAACGGUGGAAUGUGUAGAUAUCGGAA